rnacentral:rRNA from 1 species
GAUGAACGCUGGCGGCGUGCUUAGCACAUGCAAGUCGAACGAAGCACUUCCGAUUGAGCCUUCGGUGGAUUGAAGAAGUGACUGAGUGGCGGACGGGUGAGUAACGCGUGGGCAACCUGCCUUGUACAGGGGGACAACAGUUGGAAACGACUGCUAAUACCGCAUAAGCGCACAGCUUCGCAUGAAGCAGUGUGAAAAACUGAGGUGGUACAAGAUGGGCACGCGGUGGAUUAGCUGGUUGGUGAGGUAACGGCUCACCAAGGCGACGAUCCAUAGCCGACCUGAGAGGGUGACCGGCCACAUUGGGACUGAGACACGGCCCAAACUCCUACGGGAGGCAGCAGUGGGGAAUAUUGCACAAUGGGCGCAAGCCUGAUGCAGCGACGCCGCGUGAGCGAAGAAGUAUUUCGGUAUGUAAAGCUCUAUCAGCAGGGAAGAAAAUGACGGUACCUGACUAAGAAGCUCCGGCUAAAUACGUGCCAGCCGCCGCGGUAAGAC